UACAGAGGUGCCAAGCGUUAGGCGGAAUCACUGGGCUUAAAGCGUGUGUAGGCGGCUCGUUAAGUACCUUGUGAAAUCCCACGGCUCAACCGUGGAACUGCUGGGUAUACUGGCGAUCUUGAGCCACCUAGGGGCGAGCGGAACAAGCGGUGGAGCGGUGAAAUGCGUAGAUAUCGCUUGGAACGCCAAUGGUGAAAACAGCUCGCUGGGGGUGUGCUGACGCUGAGACACGAAAGCCAGGGGAGCGAACAGG
rnacentral:rRNA from 1 species